rnacentral:tRNA from 1 species
GUGACCUGGGCUGGUGUUCGGUCAGGGCUUCAAACCCUGGGGUGCUUAACUGCACAGGAGUUCGAUUCUUCCU